rnacentral:rRNA from 1 species
UGCCAGACUCCUACGGGAGGCAGCAGUGGGGAAUAUUGCACAAUGGGGGAAACCCUGAUGCAGCGACGCCGCGUGAGCGAUGAAGUAUUUCGGUAUGUAAAGCUCUCUCAGCAGGGAAGAAAAUGACGGUACCUGACUAAGAAGCCCCGGCUAACUACGUGCCAGCAGCCGCGGUAAUACGUAGGGGGCAAGCGUUAUCCGGAUUCACUGGGCGUAAAGGGAGCGCAGGCGGCACGGCAAGUCUGAUGUGAAAGCCCGGGGCUCAACCCCGGGACUGCAUUGGAAACUGCCGGGCUGGAGUGUCGGAGGGGUAAGCGGAAUUCCUAGUGUAGCGGUGAAAUGCGUAGAUAUUAGGAGGAACACCAGUGGCGAAGGCGGCUUACUGGACGAUCACUGACGCUGAGGCUCGAAAGCGUGGGGAGCAAACAGGAUUAGAUACCCCUGUA